rnacentral:rRNA from 1 species
AUUGAACGCUGGCGGCAGGCUUAACACAUGCAAGUCGAGCGGGGGAAGGUAGCUUGCUACCGGACCUAGCGGCGGACGGGUGAGUAAUGCUUAGGAAUCUGCCUAUUAGUGGGGGACAACAUCUCGAAAGGGAUGCUAAUACCGCAUACGUCCUACGGGAGAAAGCAGGGGAUCUUCGGACCUUGCGCUAAUAGAUGAGCCUAAGUCGGAUUAGGUAGUUGGUGGGGUAAAGGCCUACCAAGGCGACGAUCUGUAGCGGGUCUGAGAGGAUGAUCCGCCACACUGGGACUGAGACACGGCCCAGACUCCUACGGGAGGCAGCAGUGGGGAAUAUUGGACAAUGGGGGGAACCCUGAUCCAGCCAUGCCGCGUGUGUGAAGAAGGCCUUAUGGUUGUAAAGCACUUUAAGCGAGGAGGAGGCUACUUUAGUUAAUACCUAGAGAUAGUGGACGUUACUCGCAGAAUAAGCACCGGCUAACUCUGUG